rnacentral:rRNA from 1 species
CGACCCCAGGUCAGGCGGAGCUACCCGCUGAGUUUAAGCAUAUCAAUAAGCGGAGGAAAAGAAACUAACAAGGAUUCCCCUAGUAACGGCGAGCGAAC